AUUUCUUUUGACAAACUUUCCAAGGAAAAAUCCAGUCACCACAACAACUGAAGAAAGGAAUUGGACAAUGAACAUAACCUGUUUUAGAGACUGGAAACCACAAAACAGUGAUCAGGAAAUAACAUUUUCUUUCAGUAUCCUUGAGAAACUCUUGUAUAUAAGUUUACCUCAAAUAUAUUGAUUGAAGCAUGUCACUUUCAUUUUUAUCACAGCUUCCAGCAGAGUCAUGUAUCUUAUACCAUUCUUAUUUCGAUAAAAGUAGCAGAUAUUUCAAUGUCGAAACUGAAUAUUGUGGACUGCACUGACCUCUCACAUCCGCAAACAGUUUUCCAUCGUGACAAAUCAGGAGAUUUACCCUAGACAUACAGCCUGCCGGAAUAAAACAGCAUGCCAAAAAAUAAUCUCAUAUCAUAAAAUUGGCAGUAGCUACCUCACGCUAGGAAUAAAAUUAGAGAUGAGCAGGUGGGGAGCCGUGAUGCGGCGAAUCUUGUUUGUACAGGCACCACAGCUUCGGCAACGCUGGAGACCAGGGCGCGUCGAUGCUCCGCGCGCCGUCGAUGGGGCCCAAAAUACAUCUGCUUCCCUUAACCUGACCUGACCGAGAGAGGCGCAUCGCGCGAGUUCGCGACCUGCCGCACCGCGCCUCCUCUUCCCAGGGGGCGCUGAAGCGCCGCCGCCCCGCGCCCGCCCUCCGCCCUCCGCACCUCCGCGCCCCCUUCCUGAUAUCCUGCUGCACCUCCUCCGCCCGCGCCGGUGGCUGCUGCCCUGCUCCCUGCUCUCCCUCGCGGCCCCGCCUCGGAGUGCCAAGCAGCCGCCGGACGCCCGGAGCUAGGGAUUCGGCUGAAAAUCGCUGCGGCCAGGGCGCCGGUCCGUUCGCCGUCUUCGUCUCUCUCAUCUCAUUCAGUGGUCAAAGCAUGACUAUGUUUCAGUUGAUUACUGGAACGCACUAGCAGACCCAUCCGCGAUCAAUUCAUUUGACUAGGCUGAGUACGUUAUGAAGAGGCUGUUCCAGACAGUUGUGAAGGUCAAGUCCGAGCUUAGCAGCAGUAACAAGGUGACAAACAUCAACGGGUGCUCUGUAUUCCUCCAGGUAUUAUACCUAGAUAGUAUCAAUGUAGGAUUCUUGAACCUGCCUCACGAAUCAUUUCAAAGGAUUAGGUAUUUCAGCAAUGAAGUAAUGAAAUCAAUGAUUCUCGCUGAUAGUAUACAUGGGAAUGGCAAUACUGAGUUUGGGUUAUGGCUUUAGCCACUUCGUCGCCGAUUGGGUUACGGGACGUGGCGUCCUCAUUCUCUCGCGUCCUUGGAGUGCAUGCUGGGGCAGCUGGGCCACUAUUCUUUUGCAGUGAGCGAGUUUGAGAAGGCCAGCAACCAGGGUGGAGUACAUGGUGCUUCUAUGGUCAAUGAAGUACUGUUGGUCAUAGUUGAGCCAUUCAGUAGGAGCUUCUGCUAUAACGCUGGCCGGGAUAGGUUCUGCUACUACUACUAAUGAUCUGGUCUCCGUUGAGUACCAUGGGAAGGCUCCCUCAUACUACUAUAUACUUUGCUCUCCGAUCAGUAUAGAGUCACCAGACCCUACGCCUGCUUCAUUGUUUCAAGCUGGUGGAUCAGUGAGUCAAUCUCCUUUUAGGCCAAGGACUAUUUUGCUUUGAUCUCACACCACAGUUGGAUGGAACAAGGGAUAGUUCUGUUGGUGUUCUACAAACUGAAAAGGCCACACCUGCUACAGGUUCGGGAGCAGGAAAUGAUUUGCACAAAAACUUAUUGAAUGUGGUCGGUAGCCCGAGGUUCGACAAGUCGGAAUAAUCUGUCCACAGCUUCAGUACUUGGGGGAACGAGGACAUGAUUUACUACUUUCUUAUUCUAUGAUUUGCUACCUGGAAGAUGGUGACCGACAAUUGUCAUGAUUUUGCUACUUUCUUAUUCUAUGUAUCCUGCUCAAUGGCAUUAGAUGGAUAAUAUUCAAUUAUGAUGUUUGUCAAUGUUUGUCCGUUUUUUAUGGAUCAGAAUGAUGCUAAAUCUGCUUACAACAUGUUGGAUCCUCUUGUCGUUCAUUUCAUAGCA